UACCAGCACCCCGAGUGGUCGGGACGUUUAUUGGGCCUAAAGCAUCCGUAGCCGGUUCUACAAGUCUUCCGUUAAAUCCACCUGCUUAACAGAUGGGCUGCGGAAGAUACUAUAGAGCUAGGAGGCGGGAGAGGCAAGCGGUACUCAGUGGGUAGGGGUAAAAUCCUUUGAUCCAUUGAAGACCACCAGUGGCGAAGGCGGCUUGCCAGAACGCGCUCGACGGUGAGGGAUGAAAGCUGGGGGAGCAAACCGG
rnacentral:rRNA from 1 species